rnacentral:rRNA from 1 species
AUUGAACGCUGGCGGCAGGCUUAACACAUGCAAGUCGAGCGAGCGGCGGACGGGUGAGUAAUGUCUGGGAAACUGCCUGAUGGAGGGGGAUAACUACUGGAAACGGUAGCUAAUACCGCAUACCAUCAGAUGUGCCCAGAUGGGAUUAGCUAGGAGGUGGGGUAAUGGCUCACCUAGGCGACGAUCCCUAGAUGGUCUGAGAGGAUGACCAGCCAAACUGGAACUGAACAACGGUCCAGACUCCUACGUGAGGCAGCAGUGGGGACUAUUCCACAAUGGUCGAAAGCCUGCUGCAGCCAUGCCGCGUGUGUGAAGAAGGCCUUCGGGUUGUAAAGCACUUUCAGCGAGGAGGCGUUACUCGCAGAAGAAGCACCGGCUAACUCCGUGCCAGCCGCCGCGGUAAUAC